rfam:Salmo salar isolate Sally breed double haploid chromosome ssa01, whole genome shotgun sequence.
UUCCUUGUGGCUCAGUUGGUAAAGCAUGGUGUUUGCAACGCCAGCGUGGUGUGUGCAACGCCAGGGUUGUGGGUUCAAUUCCCACCCAGUACA